GAUGAACGCUGGCGGCGUGCUUAACACAUGCAAGUCGAACGAGAAGUGGAGACGGACACCUUCGGGCGGAAGACUUUACUUCGAGUGGCGGACGGGUGAGUAACGCGUGGGUAACCUGCCUCAUACAGGGGGAUAACAGUUGGAAACGACUGUUAAUACCGCAUAAGACCACAGCACCGCAUGGUGCGGGGGUAAAAACUCCGGUGGUAUGAGAUGGACCCGCGUUCGAUUAGCCAGUUGGCGGGGUAACGGCCCACCAAAGCGACGAUCGAUAGCCGAUCUGAGAGGAUGACCGGCCACAUUGGGACUGAGACACGGCCCAAACUCCUACGGGAGGCAGCAGUGGGGAAUAUUGCACAAUGGGGGAAACCCUGAUGCAGCGACGCCGCGUGAGUGAAGAAGUAUUUCGGUAUGUAAAGCUCUAUCAGCAGGGAAGAAAAUGACAGUACCUGAGGAAGAAGCCCCGGCUAACUACGUG
rnacentral:rRNA from 1 species